UGUUGCCUCGGCGCAGGCCGGCCUCUUUGCUGAGGCCCCCUGGAGACAGGGAGCAGCCCGCCGGUGGCCAACCAAACUCUUGUUUCUACAGUGAAUCUCUGAGUAAAAAAACAUAAAUGAAUCAAAACUUUCAACAACGGAUCUCUUGGUUCUGGCAUCGAUGAAGAACGCAGCGAAAUGCGAUAAGUAAUGUGAAUUGCAGAAUUCAGUGAAUCAUCGAAUCUUUGAACGCACAUUGCGCCCUCUGGUAUUCCGGAGGGCAUGCCUGUUCGAGCGUCAUUUCAACCCUCAAGCCUGGCUUGGUGAGUGGGGCACUGCCUGUGAAAGGGCAGGCCCUGAAAUCUAGUGGCGAGCUCGCUAGGACCCCGAGCGUAGUAGUUAUAUCUCGCUUUGGAAGGCCCUGGCGGUGCCCUGCCGUUAAACCCCCAACUUCUGAAAAUUGACCUCGAUCAGGUAGAUACCCGCUGAACUUAAGCAUAUCAAUAAGCGGAGGA
rnacentral:rRNA from 1 species